GUCCACGCCGUAACGAUGAUUACUCGAUAUACACGCUUGUCGUGUGUGUCCAAGCGAAGCGUUAAGUAAUCCACCUGGGAGUACGCGCGCAAGCGUGAAACUCAAAGGAAUUGACGGGUCCGCACAAGCGGUGGAGCAUGUGGUUUAAUUCGAUAAUACGCGAGGAACCUUACCUGGGCUCGAAUGUCUCUGCUACCUUGAGAAAUUAAGGGUUCCUUCGGGACAGAGUACAAGGUGCUGCAUGGCCGUCGU
rnacentral:rRNA from 1 species